AACGAACGCUGGCGGCAUGCCUAACACAUGCAAGUCGAACGAGAUCUUCGGGUCUAGUGGCGCACGGGUGCGUAACGCGUGAGAAUCUGCCCUUUGGUUCGGAAUAACAGUUGGAAACGACUGCUAAUACCGGAUGAUGACGAAAGUCCAAAGAUUUAUCGCCAGAGGAUGAGCCCGCGUAGGAUUAGCUAGUUGGUGUGGUAAAGGCGCACCAAGGCGACGAUCCUUAGCUGGUCUGAGAGGAUGAUCAGCCACACUGGAACUGAGACACGGCCCAGACUCCUACGGGAGGCAGCAGUGGGGAAUAUUGGACAAUGGGCGAAAGCCUGAUCCAGCAAUGCCGCGUGAGUGAUGAAGGCCUUAGGGUUGUAAAGCUCUUUUACCCGGGAUGAUAAUGACAGUACCGGGAGAAUAAGCUCCGGCUAACUCCGUGCCAGCCGCCGCCGUAA
rnacentral:rRNA from 1 species